rnacentral:lncRNA from 1 species
GGCUGUGUAGGAUUUCAUCAUCAUCCCCUUUAGAAGUUAUCUCCCUUUUAUUGUUUUUUUUCGACAUGGCCCCCCUCGUUGUUUUUAAAGAUAUCAUGACCUUAUUUGGACAAAAGUUAGAUCUCAUCAUGAUGUGUUACCAUAUGAGGCUGCUAAGGAUUUCAUCAUUCCCUAUGAGAGUUAUGUCCCCUUGAAGCAAUUUCUUUCUUUUACAUUUUUCUCAAAAAGUAUUCAAGAUAGAAUCGAUUUGAAAACGGCAACAUGUACAAGACCAGAUGGCAAUGUUAAUUAACAUAUACAAUCAUUUUGUUGUUAACCCUUAUAAGGAGUUAUUUCCCUUGAAAAAAUAUACACAAUUUUUGAAAAAUUGUAUCUCGAGAACCGGAAGUCGUAAAGACUUGGGACCUACACCAAUAAUCUUAAGUUCAUGUGACCUUUAAUUUGCACCCAAGGUCAAAGGUCACCGAGUGCAAAAAAAAAUUACGCGCUGCAAUUUCAAGCUUUCAUAUUAAGAAAACGAUAAGAGUUUGCUGCAUACUUACAGCGUAUAAAAUGUUCCUCUCGACGAGCUCUACAUUUUAUACUCUGACCUCAAAAGAGUCCGACUGUCUGUUCAAAAGUUACGACGGGAUGAUUCUUAAAAGUAUAGUAUUGUGUGUAUAUCUUUUUAAAGGUAACAGAUAUCAACCUACUAUAAACUGCAAAGAUGAUCAGUAGUUCAAGACCUUCAAUUUGAGGUCAAUGUCAGGUCAUGAUGAAAUUUCACCUUGACCUUCACAUUUUACUAUGACCUUGACCUUGUGAUAUUUGAAAGGUCAAGUGGUCCUGAGUUGAAUGGUGAUAGUCCCAUGUCUCUACGACUUCCGGUUCUCAAGUUUUGUAUUGCAUCAUAUAUUUGAUGAUUAAUUGUGACCUUGGUGAACUUUGAAAUUGUCCCAAUUCUUUUUCUAUAAUGUUGUCCUUUAACUGUAGAUCAUUUAUCAUUUAACAGAUUUGAGAUAUCUAUUGUCGUUUUAGAGAUAAUGCAGUUUGAAGUUUUUCGAGCGGAGGCAUGUAUUUCUGAAUCAACAAGAGCUUACCACUUAAAAUGUUUUAGAAAUUGAAGAGGUUGACAUAGUUAUAUGUUUGACCAAAUACCAAAAACAUUCCAUGGAAAAAAACACCAAAAAAUCAAUUUGAAAUUUUCAAGUUUUGCAUUGACUUUGUAAGUUUCAUAACUUCUAUUUAUAUAGUUGAUAUUGCAUCAUUAUUUGCACUUUGUCAAAUGGGGUCAUCUGAUAUAUCAAAUUGAAGGUCUUAAUAAACUCUACUUAAAAAUGAAAAUUUUAAACCCCCUUUUCAUCCCAGGGGGACGGGUGGGGUCAUUUAGUGCAAACAUUCAAAUUUCUCAGAUGGUAAGGUUGUCGCAUAUCAAAUGAAAGAACAUAAAGCGUACAUUUCAAAUUUCAAAUUGACGUCUCCCAAAAAUGGGUUGGAUGGGGUCAUUGAGUGCAAAAAAUAAAUGUUCUUUUAAGGUAGGGUUGUUGUAUAUCAAAUGAAAGGUCAUGAUGUGUACAUUUGAAAUAUCAAAUUCCCGACCUCCAAAAAUUUGUUGGAUAGGGUUAUUAAGUGCAAAAAUCAAACUUUCAAGAACAUGGUGUUGUCGCAUAUCAAACGAAAGCUCAUCUACUCUGUUCCAUAUAUCAUAAUUCCGAUCUCAAAAAUGUAGCGGAUGAGGUCAUUAAGUGUAAAAAGCGAAAAGUUUCAGAAGGUGUGCUUGUCGUAUAUCAAACGAAAGGUCGUACAAAGUACAAUACGAAAACAUCACUUUUACAGGAAAGACCUUUCAAUUGUUUUACAAACAAUUGAGAUACUAGUUUUUUUUUUUUUUUUUUUUUAGGUCUUUCCUCUCCGCGAGGAAAGACCUUAUUGUUUUUUCCUUUUUUUUUUUUUUUUUUUUUUUUUUUUUUUUUUCAUCCAGCAUUUGUUUGACAUGGCCUCCCCUCGUUUCUAUUGGAGUUAUCAAGACCAAAUAUGGACCAUCGGUAGACCUCAUCAUGAAGUAUUACCAGAUGAGGCUGUGUAGGAUUUCAUCAUCCCCUUUAGAAGUUAUCUCCCUUUUAUUGUUUUUUUUCGACAUGGCCCCCCUCGUUGUUUUUAAAGAUAUCAUGACCUUAUUUGGACAAUAGUUAGAUCUCAUCAUGAUGUGUUACCAUAUGAGGCUGCUAAGGAUUUCAUCAUUCCCUAUGAGAGUUAUGUCCCCUUGAAGCAAUUUCUUUCUUUUACAUUUUUCUCAAAAAGUAUUCAAGAUAGAAUCGAUUUGAAAACGGCAACAUGUACAAGACCAGAUGGCAAUGUUAAUAAACAUAUACAAUCAUUUUGUUGUUAACCCUUAUAAGGAGUUAUUUCCCUUGAA